UUCGUAAAAUUGGUGUAAUUAAUCAAAAAUAUCAGUGAAAUAUAUGACUAGCUCAAUUUGACCAGCAAUUAAUGCAAAUUCAUAUUGCUUUCUACUGGUGAACCUAUCUGAUGACUAUAAAUUAAUAAAUAAAAUAAAAUUGGAAUAAAGGAAUAAAAUAUACAUAUAUCUAUAUUAUAUUUUAAUCUUUUAACAAACUAAACAAUCUAUUAUGAAAUUUAUUUUAUUUUAUUUCAAAUUCCAAUUGCAUUUAAUAGUACUAACUUUUAAUUCAAAUAUCUAUAACAAUAUUGAAUGAACAAAUACAAAUUGCUGUUUUGGUUAGUCACAGCAUAAUACAGUGAAACUUCUAAUUAACGGUCACCAAAGCGACCAUAAAUAAUGAUCGCUAUUUAGAGGUAGCCCCGUCCUAUAAAGGUGACAAUACAUGACAUAACACUUGAUGGGACCAAAAAACCUAACCGUUACAUAGAGGUGACCGUUAACAGAAGUUUUACUGUACACCUCACCUGAUAACUUAAUAAUUGCAUUCUGAUAAAAAAAAAAAAAAACAGUGCAGCAUCAAGACCAACUACUUCUAAAUUUGUAAAAAUUGAUGAUCACAUUAAUAGUUAAUUGUAUGUUUAAAUAAUUAGUUAAGUUAUUGGUACAUAACAUAAGUAGGGCUAUGGAGUUUUUAUUAACCUAAAUUGGCAAAUUAAAAUUUUUUUUACAUCUGAGUGUCAUUUUCAUGCAUUAUAUUAAAAGAUUUUUAUAUCAUAAAAUAUUAAUUAAAAAUUAACAUAAUUUCAAAAAUAAGUGUAAAAAUGAAUAAUUAUUUAAAACAUCCA